rnacentral:rRNA from 1 species
GAGACUGCCGGUGUUAAGCCGGAGGAAGGUGGGGAUGACGUCAAGUCCUCAUGGCCUCUAUGCCCAGGGCUACACACGUGCUACAAUGGGUGGUACAAAGAGAUGCCAACUCGCGAGAGCGCGCCAAUCUCAGAAAGCCAUCCUCAGUUCGGAUUGGAGUCUGCAACUCGACUCCAUGAAGUUGGAAUCGCUAGUAAUCGCGGAUCAGCACGCCGCGGUCGAAUACGUUCCCGGGCCUU